rnacentral:rRNA from 1 species
AUGGGAGGCCAUUCUGGAACUAAAGCUACAUACCAAAGAAUUAAGAGGGUUUUCUGUUGGCCAUAUAUGAAGAAAUCAGUGGAGCAGUUUGUAGCAGAAUGUCCUGUGUGUCAAGUUACAAAAUUUAAGCACCAACAUUCUGCUGGACUGUUAGAGAACCUUGCCCAUACCCGGUGCUGGGAAUGUAUUAGCAUGGAUUUUAUUGAAACUCUGACUAAUUCUAAUGGGAAGGAGGGGAUUGUGGUGGUGGUGUUAAGGUUAAUGAGAGCACAUUUCAUAGCCCUGUCCCACCCAUAUACAGUAGAGAAAGUAGUGCAAAUUCUCAUGGACAAUAUUUUUAAAUUUUUUAAAUUGCAUGGAUAUCCAUUGGAGAUUGUCUCAGAUAGAGAUAGAAUUUUCAUUAGUAAUCUCUACCAGCAGAUUUUUGCAACAUUGAAGAUUACUCUGAAAUUAAGUACAUGGUCAAACGGAACGUGUUAUGCUUGGAGGCAUACUUACGCAGUAUGGUAUUUCAAGAACCUAAACAAUGGACAAAAUGGCUCUCCUGUGCAGAAUGGUGGCAUAACACUUCUUAUCAUUCUUCUCUGA